rnacentral:other from 1 species
GUUGUCCUGGGGUGUUCGCCAAUCGUCUGAAUUUUCUCCUACAUAUUCUAAACUGGAGCCCGGAUGUCAGUCUACAGAUGUCAUGCCCCCGUCGUUGACGCCAGGGGACGGCAGAAGUAUAUUGCAGGGUUCCGACCUGCCGAGACGGUGGGUGGAAAAGGGACGAUAACGGCACUUUGGGACUUUU